GUGAUUAAAUUUGUCUCUAAUAGAGUAAAUUGGAACAACUUAGCUGGAAACCGAGGCGUAGCAGCGCUACUAUCCUAAAGAAGUGAUUUCGCCCCCACUGAUAAUAAUCACAGGUACAAUUGGGCUGCCGGCGAUCACUCUCCAGGAUUCAACGACGAAGUCUCCGAUCGUAUGUACUCACAGAAGGAGACUUUGGACUUGUCUAUGUGGAUUGCCCAAUUAACAAAGUAUUUGUGUAUAGAAGGAAAGAAAGAAGAACAGAUUUUGU
rnacentral:lncRNA from 1 species